GACGAACGCUGGCGGCGUGCUUAACACAUGCAAGUCGAACGGAAAGGCCCUGCUUUUGUGGGUUUCUCGAGUGGCGAACGGGUGAGUAACACGUGAGUAACCUGCCCUUGACUUUGGGAUAACUUCAGGAAACUGGGGCUAAUACCGGAUAGGAGCUCCUGCUGCAUGGUGGGGGUUGGAAAGUUUCGGCGGUUUGGGAUGGACUCGCGGCUUAUCAGCUUGUUGGUGGGGUAGUGGCUUACCAAGGGUUUGACGGUUAGCCGGCCUGAGAGGGUUACCGGGCACAAGGGGACGGAGAUACGGCCCAGACGCAUACGGGAGGCAGCAGUGGGGAAUAUGGCACAAGGGGCGGAAGCCUGAGACGGGAGCGCCGCGUGCGGGAUGAGGGCCUUCGGGUUGUAAACCAAGAUCGCCUGUGACGAAACGUGAGAGAAGGUAAUGUGAAAAAAAGAACCGGCUAACUACGUG
rnacentral:rRNA from 1 species